rnacentral:rRNA from 1 species
AUUGAACGCUGGCGGCAUGCCUUACACAUGCAAGUCGAACGGUAACGGGCCUUCGGGUGCCGACGAGUGGCGAACGGGUGAGUAAUGCAUCGGAACGUACCUUUCAGUGGGGGAUAACGUAGCGAAAGUUACGCUAAUACCGCAUAUUCUGUGAGCAGGAAAGCAGGGGAUCGCGAGACCUUGCGCUGAUUGAGCGGCCGAUGUCAGAUUAGCUAGUUGGUGAGGUAAAGGCUCACCAAGCCGACGAUCUGUAGCUGGUCUGAGAGGACGAUCAGCCACACUGGGACUGAGACACGGCCCAGACUCCUACGGGAGGCAGCAGUGGGGAAUUUUGGACAAUGGGCGAAAGCCUGAUCCAGCAAUGCCGCGUGCAGGAUGAAGGCCUUCGGGUUGUAAACUGCUUUUGUACGGAACGAAAAGCUCUGGGUUAAUACCCUGGGGUCAUGACGGUACCGUAAGAAUAAGCACCGGCUAACUACGUGCCAGCCGCCGCAGUAAGAC